GUUUUUCGCUUGAGGAUGAGCCCAUGUGGGAUUAGCUAGUUGGUGAGGUAAUGGCUCACCAAGGCGACGAUCCCUAACUGGUCUUAGAGGAUGAUCAGUCACACUGGAACUGAGACACGGUCCAGACUCCUACGGGAGGCAGCAGUAGGGAAUAUUGCACAAUGGAGGAAACUCUGAUGCAGCGACGCCGCGUGAGUGAUGAAGGCCUUCGGGUCGUAAAGCUCUGUCGUACGGGACUAAGAAAGUG
rnacentral:rRNA from 1 species